CCACAUUUAUUUGACGAAGGCUCCAAAGGAAGCCACGGCUAACUCUGUGCCAGCAGCCGCGGUAAUACAGAGGUGGCAAGCGUUGUUCGGAAUUAUUGGGCGUAAAGAGCACGUAGGUGGGUUUGUAAGUCAGAUGUGAAAGCCUUCUGUUCAACGGAAGAAUUGCAUCUGAAACUGCGAGUCUUGAGUGUAGGAGGGGAGAAUGGAACUUCUGGUGGAGCGGUGAAAUGCGUAGAUAUCAGAAGGAACGCCGGCGGCGAAAGCGAUUCUCUGGCCUAUUACUGACGCUCAGUGUGCGAAAGCUAGGGGAGCAAACGGGAUUAGAUACCCCGGUAGUCCUAGCCGUAAACGAUGGGCACUAAGUAGAGGGAAUUACCGAUGUUCUCUCUGCCGUAGCUAACGCAUUAAGUGCCCUGCCUGGGGAGUACGGCCGCAAGGCUAAAACUCAAAAGAAUUGACGGGGGCUCGCACAAGCGGUGGAGCAUGUGGCUUAAUUCGAUGCAACGCGAAGAACCUUACCGGGGCUUGACAUGGUAGAAGUAGGAACCCGAAAGGGUAACGAACGGUAUCCAGUCCGUAACUAUCACAGGUGUUGCAUGGCUGUCGUCAGCUCGUGUCGUGAGACGUUGGGUUAAGUCCCCUAACGAGCGAAACCCUUGUUUUUAGUUACCAGCGGGUUGUGCCGGGUACUCUAGAAAGACYGCCGUCGUCAAGACGGAGGAAGGUGGGGAUGACGUCAAGUCAUCAUGGCCCUUAUGCCCCGGGCUGCACACGUGCUACAAUGGUCGGUACAAAUGGAAGCGAAGCCGAGAGGUGAAGCGAAUCCUAAAAAGCCGAUCUCAGUUCGGAUUGGAGGCUGAAAUUCGCCUCCA
rnacentral:rRNA from 1 species